AAAGCCAGUCAAGACCCAGGUGGCACUGAGGAGAGUGACGACACUUCAGCCACAACUGUUCCUGCUAUUCCUCCUGUUGUUUGCCUGGGUUGUCUUCCCCUGUUGAUGGCAAACCCAUUGCCCACUAUAAGCCUUCAAACUAUAAGCCCUCUAUCUCAGCUUAGCAUUGGACAGAAAACUCACUGGGAAACCAGCCUGAACUGGUAGCUCUUUGAUUGGGAGCCCUCCAACUCAGCAGACAAGAGUCAUGCUGUUGUCAAGUGAAUACAUGGCGAUUCUCUUGCCCAUUCAUCAGAGGCAGUACCAGCACCUUCACAGUACCAGCCCCUCCUCAAGAGUCUCCACAGAGAGAAGGGCCACCCAGACUGUCCUGUUGGAAAUUAUUUACAGGGAAUGUCUCUUGAUAAUGAAGAUCUAACAUGGUCCACCAUCAAGUUUUAUCUAAGGAUGAACAAAGACAUUACCAAGCUGGGAUUAUCUUUACUGCAUCAUAAUACCUUUUGGACCUGGAUAUCUACAUAUGUUUGUGAGAUGAGAAAAGGGAUAUAGCUCUGUCCAGAAAAAUAAAGGAGUCCAGAAUUUACAACAGCCAACUUUAUUGUUAUAACACCAGCUCAAUCUAACAUAUGGCAUAAGAGUAAAGGAAGGUUCU